rnacentral:rRNA from 1 species
GGCAACCGAGUUGUAAUUUGGAGACGGGACACUAGAGAGGAGGAAGGCGAUUAAGUGCCUUGGAACAGGCUGCCGUAGAGGGUGAGAGCCCCGUGAAUCGCUGGAGACCGAUCAAUUAGUGCCCGCCGAAGAGUCGAGUUGUUUGGGAAUGCAGCUCUAAGUGGGUGGUAUAUUCCAUCUAAGGCUAAAUAUUAGCGAGAGACCGAUAGCAAACAAGUACAGUGAUGGAAAGAUGAAAAGAACUUUGGAAAGAGAGUGAAAUAGUACGUGAAAUUGUUGAAAGGGAAGGGUAUUUGAUCCGACAUGGUGUUUAGCAGCGGCCCGUUCCUCGUGGAUGGGUGCACCUGGUUUACACUGGGCCAGCAUCGGUUCUGGGAGCCAUAUACGGGGUUCGUGAAUGUGGCCCUUCGAUUCUGUCGGAGGGUGUUAUAGCGCGGACAUCUU